rnacentral:tRNA from 22 species
GCCGCCUUAGCUCAGUUGGUUAGAGCGCUAGAUUGUGGAUCUAGAGGUCCCCCGUUCAAGCCGGGGAGGCGGUACCA